GGACGUGUAGCUCAGUGGUCAGAGCGUUCGGUUCACAUCCGAAAGGUCAGAGGUUCGAGACCUCUCACGUCCACCA
rnacentral:tRNA from 1 species